rnacentral:tRNA from 1 species
CCGACCUUAGCUCAGUAGGAAGAGCACGAGACUGUAACUGGCGAACAAGUGUAAUGAACACAUCUCGGGGUCGCCUGUUCGAACCAGGCAGGUCGGA